CCUACGGGGGGCAGCAGUGGGGGAUAUUGCACAAUGGGGGGAACCCUGAUGCAGCGACGCAGCGUGGGUGAAGGAGUGCUUCGGCAUGUAAAGCCCUAUCGGCAGGGAAGAAGAAAGACGGUACCUGACUAAGAAGCCCCGGCUAACUACGUGCCAGCAGCCGCGGUAAUACGUAGGGGGCGAGCGUUAUCCGGAUUCACUGGGUGUAAAGGGAGCGUAGACGGCCAUGGAAGCCAGGGGUGAAAGCCCGGGGCCCAACCCGGGGACUGCCCUUGGAACUGUGCGGCUAGAGUGCGGGAGGGGCAGGCGGAAUUCCUGGUGUAGCGGUGAAAUGCGUAGAUAUCAGGAGGAACACCGGCGGCGAAGGCGGCCUGCUGGACUGCGACUGACGUUGAGGCACGAAAGCGUGGGGAGCGAACAGGAUUAGAUACCCUUGUAGUC
rnacentral:rRNA from 1 species